UACAGAGGUCUCAAGCGUUGUUCGGAUUCAUUGGGCGUAAAGCGCGUGUAGGCGGCUCGAUAAGUCUGCUGUGAAAGUCCAGGGCUCAACCCUGGGAUGCCGGUGGAUACUGUCGAGCUCGAGUCCGGAAGAGGCGAGUGGAAUUCCUGGUGUAGCGGUGAAAUGCGCAGAUAUCAGGAAGAACACCAAUGGCGAGGGCAGCUCUCUGGGACGGUACUGACGCUGAGACGCGAAAGCGUGGGGAGCGAACAGG
rnacentral:rRNA from 1 species